rnacentral:rRNA from 1 species
GACGAACGCUGGCGGCGUGCUUAACACAUGCAAGUCGAACGGAAAGGCCCUGCUUUUGUGGGGUGCUCGAGUGGCGAACGGGUGAGUAACACGUGAGUAACCUGCCCUUGACUUUGGGAUAACUUCAGGAAACUGGGGCUAAUACCGGAUAGGAGCUCCUGCUGCAUGGAGGGGGUUGGAAAGUUUCGGCGGUUGGGGAUGGACUCGCGGCUUAUCAGCUUGUUGGUGGGGGAGUGGCUUACCAAGGCUGUGACGGGUAGCCGGCCUGGGAGGGUGACCGGCCACAUUGGUACUGAGAUACGGCCCAGAGUCGUACGUGAGGCAGCAGUGGGGAACAUGGCACAGUGGUCGGGAGCCUGAUGCAACAACGCCGCGUUCGGGAUGCCGUCCUUCGGGUUGUAAACCGCUUUCGCUUGAGACGACGCGUGAGUGACGGUAAUGGGUAAAGAAGCACCGGCUAACUACGUG